GUUGGAUAAAGGUCUCUGUCACGUACCUCCUUUCGGGGAGGCCUUAUAGGGGAGACGUCAUACAACCAGCCUGGACUGAGGUCCGCGCAUCUGCUAGGAUGCUGGCGUAAUGGCUGUAAGCGG
rnacentral:rRNA from 1 species